rnacentral:rRNA from 1 species
GAUGAACGCUGGCGGCGUGCCUAAUACAUGCAAGUCGAGCGAAUGGAUUAAGAGCUUGCUCUUAUGAAGUUAGCGGCGGACGGGUGAGUAACACGUGGGUAACCUGCCCAUAAGACUGGGAUAACUCCGGGAAACCGGGGCUAAUACCGGAUAAUAUUUUGAACUGCAUGGUUCGAAAUUGAAAGGCGGCUUCGGCUGUCACUUAUGGAUGGACCCGCGUCGCAUUAGCUAGUUGGUGAGGUAACGGCUCACCAAGGCAACGAUGCGUAGCCGACCUGAGAGGGUGAUCGGCCACACUGGGACUGAGACACGGCCCAGACUCCUACGGGAAGUAGCAGUAGGGAAUCUUCCGCAAUGGACGAAAGUCUGACGGAGCAACGCCGCGUGAGUGAUGAAGGCUUUCGGGUCGUAAAACUCUGUUGUUAGGGAAGAACAAGUGCUAGUUGAAUAAGCUGGCACCUUGACGGUACCUAACCAGAAAGCCACGGCUAACUACGUGCCAGCCGCCGCAGUAA